CAGUCGCCGCGGUAAUACGUAGGUGGCAAGCGUUGUCCGGAAUUAUUGGGCGUAAAGGGCUCGCAGGCGGUUUCUUAAGUCUGAUGUGAAAGCCCCCGGCUCAACCGGGGAGGGUCAUUGGAAACUGGGAAACUUGAGUGCAGAAGAGGAGAGUGGAAUUCCACGUGUAGCGGUGAAAUGCGUAGAGAUGUGGAGGGACACCAGUGGCGAAGGCGACUCUCUGGUCUGUAACUGACGCUGAGGAGCGAAAGCGUGGGGAGCGAACAGGAUUAGAUACCCCAGUAGUCCCUGUCUCUUAUAA
rnacentral:rRNA from 1 species